AGUGAACGCUGGCGGUAGGCCUAACACAUGCAAGUCGAACGGCCGCACAGUAAGAGCUUGCUCUUACGGGUGGCGAGUGGCGGACGGGUGAGGCAUACAUCGGAAUCUACUUUUUCGUGGGGGAUAACGUAGGGAAACUUACGCUAAUACCGCAUACGACCUACGGGUGAAAGCAGGGGAUCUUCGGACCUUGCGCGAUUGAAUGAGCCGAUGUCGGAUUAGCUAGUUGGCGGGGUAAAGGCCCACCAAGGCGACGAUCCGUAGCUGGUCUGAGAGGAUGAUCAGCCACACUGGAACUGAGACACGGUCCAGACUCCUACGGGAGGCAGCAGUGGGGAAUAUUGGACAAUGGGCGCAAGCCUGAUCCAGCCAUACCGCGUGGGUGAAGAAGGCCUUCGGGUUGUAAAGCCCUUUUGUUGGGAAAGAAAAGCAGCAGGUUAAUACCCCGCUGUUCUGACGGUACCCAAAGAAUAAGCACCGGCUAACUUCGUG
rnacentral:rRNA from 1 species